rnacentral:rRNA from 1 species
UACAGAGGGGGCAAGGCGUUGUUCGGAAUUACUGGGCGUAAAGGGCGCGUAGGCGGCCUGCUAAGUCGAACGUGAAAUCCCCGGGCUCAACCCGGGAACUGCGUCCGAUACUGGUUGGCUUGAAUCCGGGAGAGGGAUGCGGAAUUCCAGGGUGUAGCGGUGAAAUGCGUAGAUAUCUGGAGGAACACCGGUGGCGAAGGCGGCAUCCUGGACCGGCAUUGACUG